UGGGGAAUAUUGCGCAAUGGGGGCAACCCUGACGCAGCAACGCCGCGUGAUUGAAGAAGGUCUUCGGAUUGUAAAAAUCUUUAUCAAGGACGAAGAAGUGACGGUACUUGAUGAAUAAGCUCCGGCUAACUACGUGCCAGCAGCCGCGGUAAUACGUAGGGAGCAAGCGUUAUCCGGAUUUACUGGGUGUAAAGGGCGAGUAGGCGGGCUGGUAAGUUGGGAGUGAAAUGUCGGGGCUUAACCCCGGAACUGCUUUCAAAACUGCUGGUCUUGAGUGGUGGAGAGGCAGGCGGAAUUCCCAGUGUAGCGGUGAAAUGCGUAGAUAUUGGGAGGAACACCAGUGGCGAAGGCGGCCUGCUGGACAUUAACUGACGCUGAGGAGCGAAAGCGUGGGGAGCAAACAGGAUUAGAUACCC
rnacentral:rRNA from 1 species